GCCCGCAUGGCUCAGUGGUAGAGCGCAUCACUAGUAUCACUAGUAUCACUAGUAUCACUAGUAUCACUAGUAUCACUAGUAUCACUAGUAAUGAUGAGGUCGUCAGUUCGAUUCUGGCUGUGGGCA